rnacentral:rRNA from 1 species
AUUGAACGCUGGCGGCAUGCCUUACACAUGCAAGUCGAACGGCAGCACGGGAGCAAUCCUGGUGGCGAGUGGCGAACGGGUGAGUAAAGUAUCGGAACGUGCCCAGUCGUGGGGGAUAACGUAGCGAAAGUUACGCUAAUACCGCAUACGAUCUAUGGAUGAAAGCGGGGGAUCGCAAGACCACCCGCGAUUGGAGCGGCCGAUAUCAGAUUAGGUAGUUGGUGGGGUAAAGGCCCACCAAGCCGCCGAUCCGUAGCUGGUCUGAGAGGACGACCAGCCACACUGGGACUAAGACACGACCCAGACUCCUACGGGAGGCAGCAGUGGGGAAUUUUGGACAAUGGGCGAAAGCCUGAUCCAGCCAUGCCGCGUGCAGGAUGAAGGCCUUCGGGUUGUAAACUGCUGUUGUACGGAACGAAAAGGACUGCCCUAAUACGGUGGUCCCAUGACGGUACCGUAAGAAUAAGCACCGGCUAACUACGUGCCAGCCGCCGCCGUAA